UUCGAAGAGUCUUCCUUCUAACAAUCACCAUCCUGAACUGUUGCAUCGUUUUAUUCCUUUGUUUAUAAAGUCAGAAGCCGAUGACACUUUUUCCUCAAUCUUGGAUCUUCUCUGUUAACCUAACAGAUCUUUGUCGUCGCUACUAUUCCCUCCAUCUAUUUUCCGGCUAAAUCCUUAACGAUAUCUAUCUCCGCCGAAGUCGGAUUGUGUAUAUGAUGAAAUUGGAGAUUUUGUGCACGGCAUGUUCCUAGAAAUAGAAAAAGUGAGACUUGAAUAUUUCAAAAAAGAGCAAUCAACCUUGAGAAGAAAAUUAUUCCAAAGCACAAUCGGUAUGGUUACGGCUGAAAAAUGUUGAGAAGAUAGUUGAUCAAAGAAUGCUUCUUUCAACAUUAUCUGCUUGAGCAAUCAAACUUCAAGGAGGAUAUGCCAAAAUCUAAUUGAUAGUGUGCUGGCUACCAGAAUGGAGAUAGAGUUUGUCGAAGAGUAUUCUUUUUGACUCUAUUAAUAAAAGAUCUAUGUUAAGGUAAUGCUAGCUUUUGGUAUAUUCAAAUUGUAAUUUAUAAUAAUACAGUGUU